GCUGGGAAUGGUAGUGCACACCUGUAAUCCCAGCAGCUUGGGAGGCUGAGGUAGGAGGAUUGGGUUCAAAGCCAACUCAGAAACAGCAACACACCAAGCAACUCAGUGAGACCCUGUCUCUA
rnacentral:sRNA from 1 species